UCAUCAACAACUUUCCUCUAGGAUUACUACUGUUCAAUACCACCAUUUCAGUUUGAUGAGAAUGAAAUUGAACAUAUUUUUCGCUACCACAGCAGGGAAGCAUCUCAAAACUUGCUAAGAGCAUUUGAAGAUGAGGAAAAGAAAAAUGCUCCAAUAGUGAAAAAGCAAAAUGUUCCAGGAGUGGAAAAGCCUGAGCGUCACAAAAUUACUUUAACUGAACCAACUGCUUUAAUUCCAGCUCAGCCAUCUGUAUCAGAAGAGAUCCUAAUUGACGUGUCACCUGGCUCAUACAUAAUCAAUACAACUUCAUAUGAUGACACAAUCAAAGAAGCACAUCUAGUAAAUGUUCAGCCAGGAAAAAGUGUAAAUCUGGUUUUUAAUUUAUCUCCUUCUAAAGGCA
rnacentral:lncRNA from 1 species